rnacentral:rRNA from 1 species
UACGGAGGGGGCUAGCGUUGUUCGGAAUUACUGGGCGUAAAGCGCGCGUAGGCGGCUUUGUAAGUUAGAGGUGAAAGCCCGGAGCUUAACUCUGGAACUGCCUUUAAGACUGCAUCGCUAGAAUUGUGGAGAGGUAAGUGGAAUUCCGAGUGUAGAGGUGAAAUUCGUAGAUAUUCGGAAGAACACCAGUGGCGAAGGCGACUUACUGGACACAUAUUGACGCUGAGGUGCGAAAGCGUGGGGAGCAAACAGG